rnacentral:rRNA from 1 species
UACGGGGGGAGCAAGCGUUGUUCGGAUUUACUGGGCGUAAAGGGCGCGUAGGCGGUCAGCACAAGUCAGUUGUGAAAUCUCCGGGCUUAACUCAGAAAGGGCAACUGAUACUGUGCGACUAGAGUGCGGAAGGGGCAACUGGAAUUCUCGGUGUAGCGGUGAAAUGCGUAGAUAUCGAGAGGAACACCUGCGGCGAAGGCGGGUUGCUGGGCCGACACUGACGCUGAUGCGCGAAAGCCAGGGGAGCGAACGGG